rnacentral:rRNA from 1 species
CCUAAAGGCGUAAUGAAAGUAAAGAUCGUCCUUGCGUCGAUCAAGGGAGGAUGAGUUGUAAAAUUUAUACAGCUCCGCACUCCUGGGGCGUCUCAUUCUUAUUACAAGAAGAGGCGCACCUAGAGCGUACACGUUGGGACCCGAAAGAUGGUGAACUAUGCCUGGUCAGGACGAAGUCAGGGGAAACCCUGAUGGAGGUCCGUAGCGAUUCUGACGUGCAAAUCGAUCGUCGGAACUGGGUAUAGGGGCGAAAGACUAAUCGAACCAUCUAGUAGCUGGUUCCCUCCGAAGUUUCCCUCAGGAUAGCUGGCACUCGUAUAAAUAUUAAUUUUUUUAAUACGAGUUUCAUCUGGUAAAGCGAAUGAUUAGAGGCCUUGGGGCCGAAACGACCUCAACCUAUUCUCAAACUUUAAAUGGGUGAGAUCUCUGGCUUGCUUGAAAUAAAUUAUUUUUUGAAGCCAUGAGUAAUCGAAUCAGAGUGCCAAGUGG